AUUGAACGCUGGCGGCAUGCUUUACACAUGCAAGUCGAACGGUAACAGGCCGCAAGGUGCUGACGAGUGGCGAACGGGUGAGUGAUGCAUCGGAACGUGCCCAGUCGUGGGGGAUAACGCAGCGAAAGCUGCGCUAAUACCGCAUACGAUCUAUGGAUGAAAGCGGGGGACCGUAAGGCCUCGCGCGAUUGGAGCGGCCGAUGUCAGAUUAGGUAGUUGGUGGGGUAAAGGCUCACCAAGGCGACGAUCUGUAGCUGGUCUGAGAGGACGACCAGGCACACUGGGACUGAGACACGGCCCAGGCUCCUACGGGGUGCAGCAGUGGGGAAUUUUGGACAAUGGGCGCAAGCCUGAUCCAGCAAGGCCGCGUGCAGGAAGAAGGCCUUCGGGUUGUAAACUGCUUUUGUACGGAACGAAACGGUCCUGGCUAAUACCUGGGGCUAAUGACGGUACCGUAAGAAUAAGCACCGGCUAACUACGUGCCAGCAGCCGCGGUAACAC
rnacentral:rRNA from 1 species